rnacentral:tRNA from 2 species
CGGGGCGUAGCGCAGCCUGGUAGCGCACCUGCCUUGGGCGCAGGGGGUCGUGUGUUCGAAUCACACCGCCCCGACCA